UACGUAGGGUGCAAGCGUUGUCCGGAAUUAUUGGGCGUAAAGAGCUCGUAGGCGGUUUGUUGCGUCGGCUGUGAAAUCCCGAGGCUCAACCUCGGGUCUGCAGUCGAUACGAGCAAACUAGAGUGUUGCAGGGGAGACUGGAAUUCCUGGUGUAGCGGUGAAAUGCGCAGAUAUCAGGAGGAACACCGAUGGCGAAGGCAGGUCACUGGGCCGCAACUGACGCUGGAGGAGCCGAAGGCAUGGGGAGCGAACAGG
rnacentral:rRNA from 1 species